AUGUCGGCUCGCAACGCUAUGGCAGCAAUGCUCGACGAGCUAAUGGGUCCCAAACGGAAUGUUGAACUAGGAAAAGACACAAAAGUCACAUUUGAUGAUCCUGACAUAUGCCCGUACUUCCUGGUCGGUUUCUGUCCUCACGACAUGUUCAUCAAUACAAAGGCAGAUUUGGGAGCGUGCCAGCUAGUACAUGACGAUAAUCUUCGAAGAUUGUAUCCAGAAUCUCCAGAAUAUGGACAACUUGGCUUUGAAAGACGUCUUAUGCGGUUUCUCGUUCAAUUAGAUGAAGAUAAUCAGCGAAGAAUUCGAAAGAACAAAGACAAAUUGUCCGGAAUGGAUGAUAGUGGAAAGCGAAAGUUAGAGGAAGAGAAGCGUCAGGUACAAUUGGAGAUCAAUUCGAUAGAUGAUGUCCUGAAAAAUAUGAUACGAGACGCAGAGCAAGCCGGCAGUGAGGGAAAUGUGACAAAAUGCCAGGAAAUAGUCGCGAGAAGCGAGAUGGUUGAAGCUGAAAAACGAGGUCUUGAAGAGAAACUUUCACAAAUGAACGAACCGAACCCACAAGCCAUGCCACCGAUGCUUGACGAAAUGGCAAUUAAGCCAAUGGAGGUUUGUGAAGUGUGUGGGAGCAUGCUCAUCGUGAAUGACGCUCAACAGCGUAUCGAAGAACAUUUGACUGGAAAAAUGCACACAGGUUUCCAAAAAAUCCGGACUAUGAUUCAACAGCUUAAGAAAAUGGGCUCUGAAAAACGCUGAAAUCUCUCAAGCACACAAGCUGACGUACAGGUAUUCCCCCCAAAAAAAUGGUUCAGGUUUUUUCACCCUCCCACGCCUUUUUACGUGUCAUGGCUCAAAGAGCAGGAAAAGCUGAAGGAGUUUGAACAAGCCGAGGAGACUAAAAGAAAAGAGCGGAGAGAAAAACGUGCUGAAGCAGCAACAACAUCUGACACUGAGCGCCGCCGUCACCGAAGUCGUUCUCCACAUCGUUCCAGUCAUGAUUCCAGGGAUUCCAGGGAUUCCAGAGAUCGUCGAGAGCAUCGUCAUCAUGGAUAUGAUAGAGAUCGGAGACACCACAGAGAUCGAAGAUAUUAG
rnacentral:misc_RNA from 1 species